GAGAGGCUGGCCCGCAGGAGUCCUGGCCGGGGAGCACAGGGGGGUUAGUGGGGCCGGCGGGGUGGCCCUGGGCAUCCCUCCUACCUCCUCGGGGCCCUCUGUCCUCUUUUUUAUUAUUUUUAUUUUUUUUUAUUUAUUUAUUUUUUGAGAAGGAGUCUUCCUUUGUGUGCCAGGCUGGAGUGCAGUGGGGCGAUCUCGAUUCACUGCAACCUCCGCCUCCCAUGUUCAAGUGAUUCUCCUGCCUCAGCCUCCCGAGUAGCUGGGACCACAGGUGCCCACCACCACGCCCGGCUAAUUUUUGUAUUUUUAGUAGGAUGGGGUUUCACCACGUUGGCCAGGCUGGUCUGAACUCCUGACCUUGUGAUCCGCCCACCUCUGCCUCCCAAAGUGCUGGGAUUACAGGCAUAAGCCACCACGACUGGCCUUAUUUUUAUUAUUUUUUAAUUUUUUUUGUUUGUUUGUUUUGAGACAGUCCCCCAGGCUAGAGUGCAGUGGUAAAGCUCACUGCAACCCUGCCUCCAGCUACCUGUUUGUUUUAUUAAAGACAGGAUCUGGGCCAGGCAUGAUGGCUCACACCCAUAAUCCUAGCAUUUUGUGAGGCUGAGGCAGGAGAUCACCUGAGGUCAGAAGUUUGAGACCAGCCUGGCCAACAAGUGAAACCCAUCUCUACUAAAAAUACAAAUUUUAGCCGGACAUGGUGGUGUGCGCCUGUAAUCUCAGCUACUUGGGAGGCUGAGGCAGGAGAAUCAAUUGAACCCGGGAGGUGGAGGUUGCAGUGAGCUGAGAUCACACUACUGCACUCCAGCCUGGGUGACAGAGCAAGACUCUGUCUCAAAAAAAAAAAAAAAAGACAUGUUCUCACUCUGUUGCCCAAGCUGGAGUACAGUGGCCUGAUCACAGCUCAUUGCAGCCUCCACCUCCCUGGGCUCAAGCGAUCCUCCCGCCUCAGCCUCCCAAGUAGCUGGAACUACAGGCAUGCACUGCCACGUCUGGAUUAUUUUUGGGUUUUUGUUUUAGAGACAGGGUUUCACUAUAUUCCCCAGGCUGGUCUCAAACUCCUGACCUCAAGUGAUCGUCCUGUCUUGGCCUCUCAAAAUGCUGGGAUUAUAGGCAGGAGCUGCCGCGCCUGGCCCCUUCUGUCCUGUUGAAGUUGGUCUGUCUGCCUUCUGUUGUCUCUUCGUCCUUGCCAAAGCCUGCCUGUUUCUUGGUGUCUCUGUUCUUCCCCUAUCUCCCUCCCCAAUAAAUGAGAUGAGACCACCCCAUGCCUUUCUUUUCUUUUUUUGAGACGGAGUCUUGCUCUGUCGUCCAGGCUGGAGUGCAGUGGCGUGAUCUUGGCUCACUGCAGGCUCUG
rnacentral:lncRNA from 1 species